AGAGUUUGAUCAUGGCUCAGAGCGAACGCUGGCGGCAGGCUUAACACAUGCAAGUCGAGCGGGCAUAGCAAUAUGUCAGCGGCAGACGGGUGAGUAACGCGUGGGAACAUACCUUUUGGUUCGGAACAACACAGGGAAACUUGUGCUAAUACCGGAUAAGCCCUUACGGGGAAAGAUUUAUCGCCGAAAGAUUGGCCCGCGUCUGAUUAGCUAGUUGGUGAGGUAACGGCUCACCAAGGCGACGAUCAGUAGCUGGUCUGAGAGGAUGAUCAGCCACAUUGGGACUGAGACACGGCCCAAACUCCUACGGGAGGCAGCAGUGGGGAAUAUUGGACAAUGGGCGCAAGCCUGAUCCAGCCAUGCCGCGUGAGUGAUGAAGGCCCUAGGGUUGUAAAGCUCUUUUGUGCGGGAAGAUAAUGACGGUACCGCAAGAAUAAGCCCCGGCUAACUUCGUGCCAGCAGCCGCGGUAAUACGAAGGGGGCUAGCGUUGCUCGGAAUCACUGGGCGUAAAGGGUGCGUAGGCGGGUCUUUAAGUCAGGGGUGAAAUCCUGGAGCUCAACUCCAGAACUGCCUUUGAUACUGAGGAUCUUGAGUUCGGGAGAGGUGAGUGGAACUGCGAGUGUAGAGGUGAAAUUCGUAGAUAUUCGCAAGAACACCAGUGGCGAAGGCGGCUCACUGGCCCGAUACUGACGCUGAGGCACGAAAGCGUGGGGAGCAAACAGGAUUAGAUACCCUGGUAGCCCACGCCGUAAACGAUGAAUGCCAGCCGUUAGUGGGUUUACUCACUAGUGGCGCAGCUAACGCUUUAAGCAUUCCGCCUGGGGAGUACGGUCGCAAGAUUAAAACUCGAAGGAAUUGACGGGGGCCCGCACAAGCGGUGGAGCAUGUGGUUUAAUUCGACGCAACGCGCAGAACCUUACCAGCCCUUGACAUCCCGGUCGCGGAUUCCAGAGACGGAGUCCUUCAGUUCGGCUGGACCGGAGACAGGUGCUGCAUGGCUGUCGUCAGCUCGUGUCGUGAGAUGUUGGGUUAAGUCCCGCAACGAGCGCAACCCCCGUCCUUAGUUGCUACCAUUUAGUUGAGCACUCUAAGGAGACUGCCGGUGAUAAGCCGCGAGGAAGGUGGGGAUGACGUCAAGUCCUCAUGGCCCUUACGGGCUGGGCUAUACACGUGCUACAAUGGCGGUGACAAUGGGACGCUAAGGGGCAACCCUUCGCAAAUCUCAAAAAGCCGUCUCAGUUCGGAUUGGGCUCUGCAACUCGAGCCCAUGAAGUUGGAAUCGCUAGUAAUCGUGGAUCAGCAUGCCACGGUGAAUACGUUCCCGGGCCUUGUACACACCGCCCGUCACACCAUGGGAGUUGGUUUUACCUGAAGACGGUGCGCUAACCCGCAAGGGAGGCAGCCGGCCACGGUAGGGUCAGCGACUGGGGUGAAGUCGUAACAAGGUA
rnacentral:rRNA from 1 species